AGUGAGAAUGCCGGAAUGAGUAGCGAGAAUUAUGUGAGAAUCAUAAUGGUCGAAAAUCUAAGGUUUCUUGAGGAAGGUUCGUCCGCUCAAGGUAAGCCGGGAGCUAAGGCGAGGCCGAGAGGCGUAGUCGAUGCACAUACGGUAAAGAUUCCGUAGCCACCGAAGUCGUUAAAUACAGGGACACAGGAACAUAGCCUAACCCCACCGUUGGUUGAGUGGGGCGUAAGGGAGCGAAAAUUAGUAGCGAAGUAGGUGAUUGUACACUGGCGAGAAAAGCUGUAUGAAUUGACAAGGUGCCCGUACCGCAAACCGACACAGGUAGAUGAGGAGAGAAUCCUAAGACCAGCGGGAGAAGUGUUGUUAAGGAACUCGGCAAAAUGACCCCGUAACUUCGGGAUAAGGGGAGCCUACGCGAGUAGGCCGCAGAGAAUAGUCUCAAGCGACUGUUUAGCAAAAACACAGGUCUAUGCUAAAUCGAAAGAUGAUGUAUAUGGGCUGACGCCUGCCCGGUGCUGGAAGGUUAAGGGGAAGUGUUAGAGCAAUCGAAGCACUGAACUUAAGCCCCAGUAAACGGCGGCCGUAACUAUAACGGUCCUAAGGUAGCGAAAUUCCUUGUCAGGUAAGUUCUGACCCGCACGAAUGGCGUAACGACUUGAGAGCUGUCUCAACAACAUACCCGGCGAAAUUGAAGUACUGGUAAAGAUGCCAGUUACCCGUGAUAAGACGGAAAGACCCCAUGGAGCUUUACUGUAACUUGAUAUUGAAUUUUUGUAUUACAUGUACAGGAUAGGUGGGAGACAGAGAACUAAUGCCGCCAGGUGUUAGGGAGUCGAUGUUGGGAUACCACUCUUGUAAUAUGAAGGUUCUAACCUGCACCCGUGAAUCCGGGUGGGGGACACUGUCAGGUGGACAGUUUGACUGGGGCGGUCGCCUCCUAAAAGGUAACGGAGGCGUUCAAAGGUUGGUUCAGCACGGACGGAAAUCGUGCAACGAGUGCAAACGCAUAAACCAGCCUAACUGCGAGACCGACAAGUCGAGCAGUAACGAAAGUUGGAGUUAGUGAUCCGGCGGUAUGAGAGUGGAAUUGCCGUCGCUCAACGGAUAAAAGCUACCCUGGGGAUAACAGGCUGAUCUCCCCCAAGAGUCCACAUCGACGGGGAGGUUUGGCACCUCGAUGUCGGCUCAUCGCAUCCUGGAGCUGAAGUCGGUUCCAAGGGUUGGGCUGUUCGCCCAUUAAAGCGGUACGCGAGCUGGGUUCAGAACGUCGCGAGACAGUUCGGUCCCUAUCUAUCACGGGCGUAGGAAAUUUGAGGAGAGCUGACCUUAGUACGAGAGGACCGGGUUGGACGUACCGCUGGUGCACCUGUUGUUCUGCCAAGGGCAUAGCAGGGUAGCUAAGUACGGACGGGAUAAACGCUGAAGGCAUCUAAGCGUGAAGCCCCCUUCGAGAUAAGAUUUCCCAUAGCGUAGGCUAGUAAGGACCCAUGAAGACUACAUGGUUGAUAGGCCGGAGGUGGAAGUGCAGUAAUGUAUGCAGCUGACCGGUACUAAUAGUCCGAGGGCUUGACCAA
rnacentral:rRNA from 1 species